rnacentral:rRNA from 1 species
GACGAACCGUACGACCGUUAUUCGGAAUUACUGGGCGUAAAGGGCUCGUAGGCGGCCAACUAAGUCGGACGUGAAAUCCCCAGGCUCAACCUGGGAACUGCGUCCGAUACUGGAUGGCUUGAAUCCGGGAGAGGGAUGCAGAAUUCCAGGUGUAGCGGUGAAAUGCGUAGAUAUCUGGAGGAAUACCGGUGGCGAAGGCGGCAUCCUGGACCGGCAUUGACGCUGAGGAGCGAAAGCCAGGGGAGCAAACGGG